rnacentral:rRNA from 1 species
GGGCGUAAGAGCUCGUAGGUGGUUCGUUACGUCGGAUGUGAAAAUCUGGGGCUCAACCCCAGACCUGCAUUCGAUACGGGCGAUCUAGAGUGUGGUAGGGGAGACUGGAAUUCCUGGUGUAGCGGUGGAAUGCGCAGAUAUCAGGAGGAACACCAACGGCGAAGGCAGGUCUCUGGGCCAUUACUGACACUGAGGAGCGAAAGCGUGGGGAGCGAACAGGAUUAGAUACCCUGGUAGUCCACGCCGUAAACGGUGGGCACUAGUUGUGGGAACCUUCCACGGUUUCUGCGACGCAGCUAACGCAUUAAGUGCCCCGCCUGGGGAGUACGAUCGCAAGAUUAAAACUCAAAGGAAUUGACGGGGCCCCGCACAAGCAGCGGAGCAUGCGGCUUAAUUCGACGCAACGCGAAGAACCUUACCAAGGCUUGACAUAUACCGGAAUAUGGCAGAGAUGUCAUAGCUGUAAAAGGUCGGUAUACAGGUGGUGCAUGGUUGUCGUCAGCUCGUGUCGUGAGAUGUUGGGUUUAGUCCCGCAACGAGCGCAACCCUCGUUCUGUGUUGCCAGCAUUUAGUUGGGGACUCACAGGAGACUGCCGGGGUCAACUCGGAGGAAGGUAAU